rnacentral:rRNA from 1 species
CAUGUAGGCGGUUGGGUAAGUCAGAUGUGAAAUCCUUUUGCUCAACAAAAGAAGUGCAUCUGAAACUACCCGACUUGAGUACGAGAGAGGAGAGUAGAAUUCCCAGUGUAGAGGUGAAAUUCGUAGAUAUUGGGAGGAAAACCCGUGGCGAAGGCGACUCUCUGGAUCGAUACUGACGCUGAGAUGCGAAAGCGUGGGGAGCAAACA